AGCGAACGCUGGCGGCGUGCUUAACACAUGCAAGUCGAACGUGAAAGUAGCAAUAUGAGUAAAGUGGCGUACGGGUGAGUAACACGUGGGUAAUCUACCUUAGAGUCUGGAAUAACGUGCCGAAAGGCGCGCUAAUACUGGAUAGUUCAAGCGCAUCGUAGAGGUGCGAUUGGGAAAGGGAGCUCGUAAGAGCCUUCGCUUUAGGAUGAGCCCGCGUCUGAUUAGCUAGUUGGUGAGGUAAUGGCUCACCAAGGCGACGAUCAGUAGCUGGUCUGAGAGGAUGAUCAGCCACACUGGAACUGAAACACGGUCCAGACUCCUACGGGAGGCAGCAGUGGGGAAUCUUGCGCAAUGGACGAAAGUCUGACGCAGCCACGCCGCGUGAGUGAAGAAGGCCUUCGGGUUGUAAAGCUCUGUCGGAGGGGACAAAAACUCAUUAGGUUAAUAGCCUAGUGACUUGAUGGUACCCUUAAAGGAAGCACCGGCUAACUUCGUG
rnacentral:rRNA from 1 species